GGGAAAUGACUACAGAGUGUGGAAGGAACGGUUUAUAUAUUUAUAUUGUAAAUAAAAAUGUGAGGUUGGGUUAUAGGUUUACCUGAUUUACACAAUAACACAAAAAUAUAUUUCCGUGCAGCUUCAUCUCAGCAUCAGUCUGAGAGGAGGCUGCAGUGGAGACCACACACAUUUGCAAGCAAAGGGAACAAAGAAUAGCAUGUAGAAUUUAAAGGGACUCUAUAGUCACCAGAACAACUAUAGCAGCUUAAAGGACCACUAUAGGCACCCAGACCACUUCAGCUCAAUGAAC